UGGUGAUCACAACACUCCAUCGCCGAUCCUCAACGCGUGCACCUCGACAUCGACGCUUACAUGGAUGCAUAUAUACACUCUCUGGCUCGGAUCGUGGCACCUUUACACCUCUCUUUCACCAUCUUGCCGCUCUCACUGCGUGCCUACUUGAGCCCCUGGCCGCUGAGUCGUGAUGGAGUUUGAGCGUGGCCCAAAGAGGUGCGCACCGGGAGCGCCUACAUCGUCUCUCUCUUACCCUUGCAUGGCUGCGAGGCCCACGAAACCGUUGGUGUCAUGCGCAGCGAAUCAUGAAGCGUCUGCACAUUCCCUUAUAGCAGAGUACCGUUCCGCCGAGCGUGAUUCAGUUUCUUCCACAGGAGCAGAGACUCGACUCUAUCGGCAGCUUCAGAGUCAGCGAGAGGCGCUAGACAGGCGAGAGGCAGCACUUCGGUACUCGGAGCAGCUUUUCCGAGAAAGGGUCGCUGCGUGGGAGACGCGGAGCCUGUUGUGGGAGGCACAGUACGCUGAGCGACUAGCUGAGCUAGAUGCACGCGAGGCGCGCCUCGGGAGAUCCCGCAUUUCACCCUGAACCGAGCGGAUGACCGACAUGACCACAUCGCCAGGGGCCUACUCCUCAUUUCACGCGACAUUCUCGCGUUCCUGUUGGACGCUUUUCUUUUCUGCCCGCCCCUUCCUCCUCCCCGUCUACGACGGAGGGGGUCGGCGGUGGGCAUCCCUCAGUGCGUCAUGUCGCAGGGCCCAGCACGCACCCCACUCUGUGUGUGUGUGUGUGGCUGUGGGGAAGCGAGCCAGCCCCCCAACCCCUAUACCCCUGCCAAGUGCCCCAGCCACCUCGGGUGGUGGCGGGGCCCAGCACCGACGACGUAGGGGAGGUCAGAGCGAUGUAUCGCUGCUGAUGUCGCUGCCGAGGUUGUGGAGGGCGUGGCGUCGGAGCGGCCAGCGUGGCUCGAACACAUCUCCCCCCUCUCCCUCCUCCUCCGGGGCCCUCACUCUGCCCAGCGGUGCAGGGAGCCUGCGCCACUCUCAAGGAGGGUGCGGCUGUGUAGCGCUUGGGACGGAGGCCGUACGCAGGUGACUGUGUUGGCGCAGUGCUGUACCGCGUAUGCCUACCGCUGCCUCGCGCCAGGCCAUGUGGGCCGGUGUGACGGGGCCGGCUGGAGGGGCGUGGAGUGGCGUGCAGCUCGCGUUGCACGGGCAGAGCAAGGGGCACACGCUGACACAAACCAAGACCCUUCCCUGCCUCCUUUGUCGUGUUGUGGCGAUGCCGACUGCCACGGCCCUCGCUGUGCUGCGAGCCAACCGAAUGCUCGACGUUACACGGCAGCGCUUUGCUCACGCUCUCUCAUGCCGUGCCUCCCUAUCGCACGCUCUCAGGAGCCAGCACACGGAUGAAGUAGGAAGGACAAUCAGCCAAAAGAAGGUCUUGGGCUUUCGGGUUAGUCGUUUUAUGCCCGCUCUGGGGCAAGGGCGAACCAAACAAAUUUGAAGAUCGCCGGCGCUGCGCGAUCUCUGUGCGUCUCAUGCUCGUCCUGUCUUCGAGCACCGUCCUCUCCUCACUCUCUCCACAUUGCACUCCCGCACCGUGGCCCCGCUCUGUCGCUUGUUGCCGUUCCGCAAUGCGCAG
rnacentral:misc_RNA from 1 species